CACCAUCACCAUUGUUUUAUCCAUUUCUUUUCGAACUUGCCUGGCUUACAUCAUUGAACGGGUUGUUGGUGGAUAUGUACUAAUGAAGAAACAAAAGUAACACAAUACACAUGAACCGAUAACAAACUUACACAGGACCUAACAACAAGAACAGGCAUGAACUAACAACGAUAACAAAUUUGCAGGCGGACUGACAACAAGAACACAGAUGAACUUAAAACAAAAAUGUAAAUGGUGACCAACUCAGAGGCAUACUGUAGCACGCAGGAGCGGCAACCAAUUAGUCAACUCAUCAAGGCCACCAAUACGCAGGAGAGCAUGGUGUGGGAAACAAUAAUGGGAGGCUACGUGUGGUCGUGGAUGCAUUGUGGGGGUUGAGCGACAACUGUGGUUGAUGGCAAGCUGGAACGACAAGAACGGGCAGCUUGAGAACAAGUGGGCGGUGCGCGACAUCUCACUUUAGAUGCGCCUGUUGGACUGAUUUCCUUCUCCCAUCUGGACGUAUCAAUUGCAGAACUUUCUAUUAGAAACAUUAAAGAUACAAAAUAGUCGUGUGCUCAAACUUGAAGUAAGAUAUGAUUUCAUGUCCUUAUCCAUUAAUAAAAUCAUACUAUGUACAUUUGUAGAAUACUUGCUCUCAGUACUAGUCAUUCUACUUAGUUAUCCAAAACAGUUGUGAAUGCUACAUCCAUUUUUCUCAAUAAAAUGUAACAUAUAAGUUUGAUACAGACAGAAAUAUGCACCAAAAGAUAUACCCAAAAUUCAAGUUCACAACAUCGGAAGAAACAAAUAAUUUGAUGCCAACCUAAGUGAGCACUGAAAGAUGCAAAGAAGAGGCUUUUUUGAGACAUUGACUUUGGUACAUGUUUUUCUCUACAAAUUGAUAAACCAAGAGCAGUACAGAUGCUCAUUUCUCAUGCUUAACCACAAGCACACGUUUGUUCUAUACGAAGCUGGAAACAUAAAACAGAAAUUGGACUUACAAUGAGGAAGUAGAUGUACUAAAAGUUGAAGCUUUGGAUCCUCAUGACGAACUGGACCAUACUGGAGUUUUGAAUGGUGGUGAAGCUUCACAUCCUUCAUCGUCACUCCUGCCAUGAGCCAAAAUCACAAACUUCAAAAUUACGAACUUCGUCUACUUUAUUUUUUCUUUCAAAAUUUUGCUUGUUUUCUAAACGUCCAACAAGAAUAAUGUAGAUCCUCCAAUUUCACCCUUUUUGUAACUGCUACAUCUGGUUUUGGCUGCAUCCUGAAAAAAUAAAAAUCUAAGAGAUGAGAUACCAGCAUGUGUAAUGAUUCUUGUGCAGAAUAUGGAAACACAAAGAUGAUCAGACUUUUGAUUGGAAAGUAGAUGAGCUGAAAAGCAUCCAAACUACGAACUGAAAACAUUGAAGCUCUGGAACACCCAACAUGGGGCAACAGUGACUGGCGGGGUAGCACUGGAACCCAGCAGUAGAGACAGCCGCUGCAUCGGCCAUGAGCGGCUCGCCACACACAUCUGCUCCAUGCGUUUGUCUCCUUGCUCGCCAUAGUACACUAGCCGCCUACUCACUGUCACCGGUCGGGCCUUGCACAUACCAGUAACCAAUUAACCACGCACUACAACACACCUAGGACUGUAUCUUUGGCACACUUUGAACUGAUGGGUAAUUUUGUGUAUUUUUAUUACUGCACAUGAAGUUAAAGUAACACCAAAACUAGCAACUCUAUUAGCUUCAUCUUUUAGAAGUGCACAAGAAGGUAGAAGAAGAUUGAAACUAGCAACUGUAAUACUUCAUCUUUAGAAGUUAGGGCACAUGAAGGUAAAAGAAGACUGACGAGCUAGUAAAUGUAACAUUGUAAAAAACUAUGAGAUGCAUAACCACACAACAAAAACUAAGAGCAUGCAUGGAAACUCAAACUAUAUGGUUUUGUAGGUAGCAUAGCAUGGUCGCUCAGACCAAAAUCAAACACAGUGGUCAGCUAUAUGAUGUUUCUAUGACCAUGUUGUACCUACGACAGAGCAAUAACAUCACAUCAUGAGAGAAAGGAUGCAACAUGAACAGUUCAGGAGAUAGAACGGGUAGAGAAGAAGUAAAUAUGUUUUGAGGAGAUGAACUGACCAGGAUUUAAAUGAACUCUCACAAGCAGUAUUUUUUAUACUUCUUAUGUAGUAAUACAUGGACUUGCUGUCAAACAAUUCAGGUAGUUGAACUGGCCACACCGCUGCACCAUGUUGCCCAGCUCCUUCUCGACGGCCUGCUUAUUGUGAUCGCCGACGAGCACCCUGGGCUUCACCAUGAACCUGGUUAAAAGAUAUAUGGGACUGGACCCUGUAGAUUUAAAUGAACUCUCACUAGAAGUAAUUUUUGUACUUCCCAUGUAGUACUACAUGGACUUGCUGUAAAAUGCAUGGACCAUGUAAUAAUUUGGAAGUUAAUUAUAUUAUCAUCUCAAGGAGCUCAAGUUGGACUGAAACUCACUUGAUAACUGAAACUACUAGGGCGAGGGGCAGGAUCCAUGGUGCUGCUAGCAAUGAACGGCCUGGGGUGGUGGCAUUGAAUGGCUUGGAAUGGUGGUUGUGAACGUCAAGGGUGCUCCGGCAGCAGAGCCCCA
rnacentral:lncRNA from 1 species